rnacentral:hammerhead_ribozyme from 1 species
UGACUGACGAGUCCCAAAUAGGACGAAAUGCGCAUUCCG